rnacentral:lncRNA from 1 species
ACUAUAUCACUAUAAAUUGGGAAGGUGGAGGGAGUUGAGAUAAUGCAGCUGUUAGAUAUUGCCUUUGUUCUCAAAAUACCUUCUUCUCAGUGAAAUGUUCAGCUAUCACAUAGAAGACCUUGGUUUGGGAUGAGUGGUAAAAAACUUGACCACAAGGAUAAAUGAUUGGUUCCCUCCAUGUGAAGAAAAGAUGGUUGACAGGACAGAGAUUUUUGCUAUCAGAAAGGUGAGGGAUGGUGAGGAGGAAAUGGAGCUAUUGUUUAUAACUACUGGAUCCUGGAAAGCAUAAUUAGGGUCCCUUUUUUGAAGUUAAGACAAAUGAGAUCACUUUAGAAUAAAUAAAGGAAGGAAACAUAGACUUUACUCAGUGGGGAGUAGAUUUGAUUACUCAAAGGGUAGUAUAGUCUGCAAAAAUAAAUAGAAGAGGUUAAACAAAUCCUGACAUAUGGACAGAGGUCCCAGGGUGUAGGCCAAGUUAUAAAUAUUCAGCUAACUCACACAUAUCUGGAGUGCUGGAGAAGAGGGUGGCUAGGUAUUAAUUUAUAGGAAGAAGUAAGGAGAUUGCUGAUCAGGUCAGAUAGUUAGAUGAUUGCACUGUGACCCUUAGCCAAGGGUGUACUAGAGCCAGCUCAGACUAGCUCACAAGAGCCUAUUUUCAGGAAAUUUUGUAAGCCAAUAUUUAAACAUUGCCAUUAAAAAUUAAAUUAUAAAAGCUUACAAUUAAAUAAAUUAUAUUAAAAC